GACGAACGCUGGCGGCGUGCCUAAUACAUGCAAGUCGUGCGGACCUUGUUGAAAGCUUGCUUUUUAACGGUUAGCGGCGGACGGGUGAGUACCACUUGGUCAACCUGCCUGUAAGACUGGGAUAACUCCGGGAAACCGGGGCUAUUACCAGAUCGUUUUUUACUCCCCAUGGUGGAUAAAGAAAAGGCGGUUUCGUCUGCCACUUACAGAUGGCCCCGCGGCGCAUUAGCUAGUUGGCGGGGAAAAGGCCCCCCAACGCAACGAUGCGUACCCGACCGGAGAGGGGGAUCGGCCCAAAUGGGAAUGGGAAACGGCCCAAACCACUAAGGGAAGCAGCAGGAGGGGAACCUCCGGAAAGGACGGAAGGCUGAACGAGCAAAGGCGCGGGAGGGAAGAAGGGCUUCGGGUCGGAAAACUCCGGUGACGGGGAAGAAAAAGUACCGUACGAACAGGGCGGCGCCUUGACGGUACCCGGCCAGAAAGCCACGGCUAACUACGUG
rnacentral:rRNA from 1 species